GUAGGUGGCAAGCAUUGUCCGGAAUUAUUGGGCGUAAAGCGCGCGCAGGCGGUUCUUUAAGUCUGAUGUGAAAGCCCACGGCUCAACCGUGGAGGGUCAUUGGAAACUGGAGAACUUGAGUACAGAAGAGGAAAGCGGAAUUCCACGUGUAGCGGUGAAAUGCGUAGAGAUGUGGAGGAACACCAGUGGCGAAGGCGGCUUUCUGGUCUGUAACUGACGCUGAGGCGCGAAAGCGUGGGGGAGCAAACAGGAUUAGAUACCCUGGUAGUCCACGCCGUAAACGAUGAGUGCUAAGUGUUAGGGGGUUUCCGCCCCUUAGUGCUGCAGCUAACGCAUUAAGCACUCCGCCUGGGAGUACGGCCGCAAGGCUG
rnacentral:rRNA from 1 species